AACGAACGCUGGCGGCAUGCCUAACACAUGCAAGUCGAACGAGAUCUUCGGAUCUAGUGGCGCACGGGUGCGUAACGCGUGGGAAUCUGCCCCUUGCUUCGGAAUAACAGUGAGAAAUUACUGCUAAUACCGGAUGAUGUCUUCGGACCAAAGAUUUAUCGGCAAGGGAUGAGCCCGCGUAGGAUUAGGUAGUUGGUGGGGUAAUAGCCUACCAAGCCGACGAUCCUUAGCUGGUCUGAGAGGAUGAUCAGCCACACUGGGACUGAGACACGGCCCAGACUCCUACGGGAGGCAGCAGUGGGGAAUAUUGGACAAUGGGCGAAAGCCUGAUCCAGCAAUGCCGCGUGAGUGAUGAAGGCCUUAGGGUUGUAAAGCUCUUUUACCAGGGAUGAUAAUGACAGUACCUGGAGAAUAAGCUCCGGCUAACUCCGUG
rnacentral:rRNA from 1 species